UCGUCGCAGCUUACCAUGCAGUCGGAGGGAGUGCUUGGGGGCUUGCUCCUGGGGGGUGAGUGGCGAACGGGUGAGUAACACGUGAGGAACCUGCCCUCUUCUUCGGGAUAACGGUUGGAAACGGCUGCUAAUACCGGGUAUUCACUGGUCCUCGCAUGGGGGUUGGUGGAAAGGGGUUUUUCUGGUGGGGGAUGGGCUCGCGGCUUAUCAGCUUGUUGGUGGGGUGAUGGCUUACCAAGGCUUUGAGGGGUAGCCGGGCUGAGAGGGUGACCGGUCACAUUGGGACUGAGAUACGGCCCAGACUCCUACGGGAGGCAGCAGUGGGGAAUUUUGCACAAUGGGCGCAAGCCUGAUGCAGCGACGCCGCGUGAGGGAUGGAGGCCUUCGGGUUGUGAACCUCUUUCGCUCAUGGUCAAGCCGCAGUUUUGUCUGUGGUGAGGGUAGUGGGU
rnacentral:rRNA from 1 species